UACAUGGCGUCAUGGUGUGCGGGUAGAUGGGUGUGUAUGGCCUCUUUCGCUUGGUAUAGUAUCUUCAAGGUCCAUCCUUCUUACAGGACAUCUUUUCAUAACCAAAGACACUGAAUUUUACAGAACCAUCAUGACUUUCGGGGCUUUUCCACUUUUUGUUUCUUAUGAAAAAUGCUGCCGUGAGCAUUCAUGUAUUCUCUCUAUUGCUUUUUUUUUUUUUUUUCAGUACUAAAGGUCAAAUUCCAGGCCCAUGCUCGACAAUCAUUGUACUUCAGAGCUAUGUUUCCAAUCUUCUGUCUCUUUUGAAAUAGUAAUUUUGCUAGGAAAUGCUCCUACUCUUCUGACUGUCUCUCAAGUAUGAUGCCCACAACCCCAUAUUAUUAUUGUUGUUGUUGUUGUUGUAAUAUACUAGGUAUGGAGAUCAGUAAUUACAUACACACAGUGGUUCACAAAGCUAAUGUCUGGCUAUCCUCACCAAACACUUGUCUGGUUAAUGGCAUCUCGAUGACUUGGAUUAAAAGAUGACAAGGAGCCCUGCUGUCCUCCUGAGCUUACUUAGCCUGCUCUGUAUCAGGCUGUGCACUCUAUGGAGCAGUCAAAGAGCAAGACGUGGUCCCUGCCGCUCGACUGCUUGAAGAGACAGUUCACUUGGUCUUGGCGGCCAGAGCAGGAAACUGCAGCCCCAAAACAUUAAAGUUAGCCAAGGAAAGAGCCCGAUAAACACAAAACACAAAGGUCCAGAUGUGAUAGGAGGAGAGGGUAUAUCGAGGAAGCUGAACGGAAAAGGACCCCACUGUUAAAGGGUUGACUGCCCUUUGGGAAGCUCCCCGGCUCAAUGCAGGAUUAGACAGUCACUGAGUGCUUGGGCCUCCGAGGCAAACACAGAGAAAGGGAUUUGUGGGCUCUUUACCUCAAAGUCUUCAUUUCAGAAUUGAGUGUGCUUGUCUCUUAAUCACAGCUUUCAUUUGGUCCCAACUUAACUUCAUUUUUUGGUUUAUUGAGACAGGGUUUCUCUGUGUAGCCCUGGCUGUCCUGGAACUCACUCUGUAGACCAGGCUGGGCUUGAAUGCAUGUAUAUCCACCUGCCUCUGCCUCCCCAGUGCUGGAACUAAAGGCAUGUGCUACCACACUCAACAACUGACUAUGUUUUCAUUUGUUUUUAAAGAUUUAUUUAUUUUUAUUUUAUAUGCAUUAGUGUUUUGCCUGCCUGAAUGUCUGAAUGAAAAUGCCAGAUCCCCUAGAACUGGAGUUAGACAGUCAUGAGCUGCCAUGUGGAUGCUGGGAAUCGAACCUGGGUCCUCUGGAAGAGCAACCAGUACUCUUAACCACUGAGCCAUCUCUCCAGCCCCUUAAUGAUUUAAUUUAUUAUUGAACAAAUAUAUAAAUAAAAGUCCUUUGAUGUCUGAGGCCACAGAAUGUUAUUCAUGCUUAGUUCUUCACUAGCAAGGAUUAAAUAGUAAAGUUGGUGAGAUAUGGACAAAGGAAAAAAAUCAAUAUUUUAUAUAUGACAGUUUUAAUGAAUUACUUCUUCCAAAGAACAGGUACCAAAAAAUAACUUGAACUCCCAGCUGCUAUCUGUCAUCAGUAUGCUACUCUAUAUAUGAUAAGUUAUAUACCAUAUGUUAUGGAUACUGUAGCACUAUAUAGUUUUAAAACAAUGCUGCUUUUACCACAUAUAUAAUAUGUAUACUGUAGUACUAUAUAAUAUCUCUGUAUUUUGUGUAUUUUUACCAUAUAUGGGGGGGGGUUGUGUUGCUAGGGAUCAAGCCAAGGUCCUCUUGUACUCCACUUAAGCGCUCUGCCAUUGAGCUAACCUCCAGCCCUUACCACUAUACUGAUUAAGAGUGCUAACCCAAGGACACGUCAACCAAGAAGGCCCUUAACUGCUUUUGCUUUGGAAAUCUUUCUGUUUUCUCUUUGAGCUCAGGAAAGAACCAUGGAAGUAUGAAGAGUACGGUUCUGUGGGGCUGGGGAGAAGGCACAGUGGGUAAGAAUGCUUGCUGUGGAUGCAUGGAGACCUGAGUUCAAAUCCUAGCACCCACAUAUAAAGCUGGGUAUGCCCACAUGUGCCCGAAAACCCAACACUGGGAGGCUGAGACCAACGUCCCCGAAGCUUGCUGACCUGGUAGCCUAAACAAAGUGGCGAGUUUCAGGUUGGGUGAGAGAUCCUGUUUCAAGGGAAUAGGGGAGAAGGAGCAAUGGAAAGAGAUGAGAGUGGGGAGAGGGAGCAAGGGAAAGAGGGAGGAAGAGAGGGAGAGGGAAAGAAAGUAGAGAUAGAUACUGAGUGAGUGUGUAUGGGUACAUGCGCCCACAUUUACAAAAGCGUUCCACAUGAUAAGCAAUGUGAGUGCAAUGAGUAAUGACGAAUACAAGGCAGAGUAAGGUACUGUGCCCUUGAUGAACUUCCAGCUCAACUGGUAAUAUAGGAAGUGUCAGGGAGGAAGGCUGAAAGAGGAAGAUAUAGGAAGUGUCAGAGAGGAAGGCUGAAAGAGGAAGAUGGUCACCCCGCCACCUGCUGUUAAUGUUCAAGAUUCAUUCCUAUAUGAACUUGUGUUGGAGACUGGUUCUAAUGUUUUGAUUCAAUCGGAGAUCUGUGUGUCGAGACACUGAAGGUAUUUGUUCCCAAUUAGUUUUUGAUUGAUCAAUAAAGAUAUCAAUGGCCAAUGGCUGAGCACUUAGAAGAUGCAGAGGAACAAGACUUUCUCUGUGACUAGGGGAAGAAGGAUGUGAUGCAAUAGAGGCAGGAGCAAAAGCCAACCAGACAUGUGAGAUUUCAGGUGAGUAGCCACUGGCCACUUCUUCGAUUGGGCCUGGGGUAGUAGGGGAAGGCUUAGGAGUGUUCAGCCAUUGAGGUAACCAAAGCAUUUAAAAAUAAACUAAUGUGUGUGUCUUUCAUCUAAAGAUAGUUCCUGGGUGGAUAUGCUCAUGGGAUCCCCCUCUGCUGGGAGCCAAAGCGAUGUAGCCAAAACUCUCACUGCUACACAUUUGCCAGAAGUUCUUUUUUAAAUUGCUACAUAUUAUCAUAUUGUAUGAACAUGUUACAAUUUGUUUAUUUGUCCCCAGAGAGGGCAAGCAAGUGGGAGAUGUUGCCUAUUGGCCAGCACAUCUGUCUCAGUCAGGGUUUCUAUUCCUGCACAAAACAUCAUGACCAAGAUGCAAGUUGGGGAGGGAAGGGUUUAUUCAGAUUACACUUCCACAUUGGUGUUCAUCACCAAAGGAAGUCAGGGCUGGAACUCAAGCAGGUCAGGAAGCAGGAGCUGAUGCAGAGGCCAUGGAGGGAUGUUCUUUACUGGAUUGCUUCCCCUGGCUUGCCCAGCUUGCUUUCUUAUAGAACCCAAGACUAUCAGCCCAGGGAUGGCACCACCCACAAGGGGCCCUUUCCCCUUGAUCACUAAUUGAGAAAAUGCCUUGCAGCUGGAUUUCAAGGAGGCAUUUCCUCAAGGGAGGCUCCUUUCUCUGUGAUAACCCCAGCUUGUGUCAAGUUGACACAUAAAACCAGCCAGUACAACAUCUAUACAUAGUCUUCCAAUGUUAUUUUGUAGAAGAGAUUGGAAAUAGGAGAAUGGGACAGUUCAGUGAAAGGAAACAAUGCAAUAAAUAAGAUUAGUUUGCUCGUCUUGUGUAUGCUUGUGUGUGUGUAGUGUUUGUGUGUGUGUGUGUGUGUGUGUGUGUGUGUAUAGUGUUUGUGUGUGUGUGUAUUCAUCCCUGAAUGUGUGUGCCCACAUGUGGGCCCGCACUGCAGGGUACAAGUAGAGUUUGGAGACAACAGUGUGGAGCUCACAUCUUUAUGUGCUUCCCAGGCAAAUCCACCUCUCACCCUGUGGUUCCAGAAAUCUAAUACAAGGUUCAGAUGCGAGGCUCUCUCAGAUGCAAAAAAGAGAAGAAGAAGAAGAAGAAGAAGAAGAAGAAGAAGAAGAAGAAGAAGAAGAAGAAGAAGAAGAAGAAGAAGAAGAAGAAGAAGAAGAGGAAGAAGAAGAAGAAGAAGAAGAAGAGGAAGAAGAGGAGGAAGAGGAGGAAGAGGAGGAAGAGGAGGAAGAGGAGGAAGAGGAGGAAGAGGAGGAAGAGGAGGAAGAGGAGGAAGAGGAGGAAGAGGAGGAAGAGGAGGAAGAGGAGGAAGAGGAGGAAGAGGAGGAAGAGGAGGAAGAGG
rnacentral:lncRNA from 1 species